rnacentral:rRNA from 1 species
AUUAGAUACCCGGGUAGUCCACGCAGUAUACGAUGAUCACUAGCUGUUUGCUAUACACUGUAAGCGGCACAGCGAAAGCGUUAAGUGAUCCACCUGGGGAGUACGCCGGCAACGGUGAAACUCAAAGGAAUUGACGGGGGUCCGCACAAGCGGAGGAACAUGUGGUUUAAUUCGAUGAUACGCGAGGAACCUUACCCGGGCUUGAAUUGCAGAUGACGGAUCCAGAGAUGGUGACUUCCUUCGGGACAUCUGUGAAGGUGCUGCAUGGUUGUCGUCAGCUCGUGCCGUGAGGUGUCGGCUUAAGUGCCAUAACGAGCGCAACCCCCGCGGGCAGUUGCUAACAGGUCAAGCUGAGGACUCUGCCCGGACUGCCGGCGCAAGCCGUGAGGAAGGCGGGGAUGACGUCAAAUCAGCACGGCCCUUACGUCCGGGGCGACACACGUGUUACAAUGGUCGGUACAGCGGGAAGCCAGGCGGCGACGCCGAGCGGAACCCGAAAGCCGGUCUCAGUUCGGAUCGGAGUCUGCAACCCGACUCCGUGAAGCUGGAUUCGCUAGUAAUCGCGCAUCAGCCAUGGCGCGGUGAAUACGUCCCCGGGCCUUGUACACACCGCCCGUCAAGCCAUGGGAGCCGAGGGCGCUU